rnacentral:rRNA from 1 species
GACGUAGGGCGCGAGCGUUGUCCGGAUUUAUUGGGCGUAAAGAGCUCGUAGGCGGCUUGUCGCGUCGAAUGUGAAAACUCGGGGCUCAACUCCGAGCUUGCAUUCGAUACGGGCAGGCUAGAGUUCGGUAGGGGAGACUGGAAUUCCUGGUGUAGCGGUGAAAUGCGCAGAUAUCAGGAGGAACACCGGUGGCGAAGGCAGAUCUCUGGGCCGUAACUGACGCUGAGGAGCGAAAGCAUGGGGAGCGAACAGG